GCACGCUCUGCUCAGGGUCCUGUACCAGGUGCGAUUGGCUAUAGAGAACUGGUACGUUUGUCAGUUGGAGAGAUUUUCCUGAGGGGGGGUCCUACCAACUCUUCGCACCACAGCGAUGGUUGUAAUAGUAUGAGUCUGGAGGCCACACAGCAGACAAUCAGCUAGCUGGGAUAUCUGUCUGCACAGAGAGUUCAGAAUUCAGAAUUCCCACCCCACGGCUCAACGCUGGAGAAACGCCGCAGUAGUCAGGCAACACCCUCCAAAAGCCCCAGGCCCCUGAGCUGCAAACGUGCCAGUCAUCCGAGACCUGCCACACAGAUGUGCUCUCUGCUUAUUCGCUUUGGUCUGGAGAGGUGGUCAGGGACUGAACGAGGCAUGCUGUAUGUGAACCAAAGCGCGUCUGAACUGUGGAAGGAGCGCACACUGGCAAACCGUGGAGGCCUCGACUCUUGGAGGCUUCCUGUGCACGAUGCAACAGUAUCCACUGUGGGAGCCUCGCUGAAGCCUGGAAGUGUGCAGUCAGCAUUUUAAACCAUCAUGAGCUACCUUCUGAACCAUCGCCAAGUUAAUAGACAAUGAAAGAUAAUGAGCUUGAAAUUGGGUGUUAAAUUGCAUUUUUGGUUCUCUCCCUUUUUGCUGAAGUUUAACUGUUUCCUGGAGAAAUAAAGUCAUGUUUUCAUGUA